CCCGACUGCUAUUUGGGUGAGAAUAAGCCAUGCGAGUUGAAUGGGAUACCUAAAGUUCCCAUAGCAAACUGCUCAGUAACACAUGAUCAACUUACCCUAUAGAGAAAAAUAACCUCGGGAAACUGAGGAUAAUAUUUCAUAAUUGAAUUGGCUUGGAAAAGUUUUUCAAUGAAAAGGAUAAAAAAAAUGGUUUUUAUCUGCUAUAGGAUAGGAUCGUGUUCGAUUAUGGUUGUUGGUGAGAUAAUGGCUCACCAAGCCGAUAAUCGAUAGGGGCCGUGAGAGCGGGAGCCCCGAGAUGGGUACUGAGACAACGACCCAGGCCUUACGAGGCGCAGCAGGCGCGGAACCUCCGCAAUACACGAAAGUGUGACGGGGUUACCCAAAGUGUUCAAUAGAACUGUGGUAGGUGAGUAAUGUUCCCUACUAGAAAGGAGAGGGCAAGGCUGGUGCCAGCCGCCGCGGUAAAACCAGCUCUUCAAGUGGUCGGGAUAAUAUUGGGCUUAAAGUGUCCGUAGCCGGUUUAGCAAGUUCCUGGUAAAAUCAGGUAGCUUAACUAUCUGCAUGCUAGGAAUACUGCUAUACUAGAGGGCGGGAGAGGUCUGAGGUACUACAGGGGUAGGGGUGAGAUCUUAUAAUCCUUGUAGGACCACCAGUGGCGAAGGCGUCAGACUGGAACGCGCCUGACGGUGAGGGACGAAAGCCAGGGGAGCGAACCGGAUUAGAUACCCGGGUAGUCCUGGCCGUAAACGAUGCAUACUAGGUGAUGGUACGGUCAUGAGCCGUAUCAGUGCCGUAGGGAAACCGUUAAGUGUGCCGCCUGGGAAGUACGGUCGCAAGGCUAAAACUUAAAGGAAUUGGCGGGGGAGCACCACAAGGGGUGAAG
rnacentral:rRNA from 1 species